GCUCCUGAGUAGCUGGGAUUACAGGCGCCCUCCACCACGCCCGGCGAAUUUUUGUAUCUUUAGUAGAGACAGGGUUUCACCACGUUGGCCAGGUUGGUCUUGAACUCCUGACCUCAUGAUCCGCCUGCCUCGGCCUCCCAAAGUGUUGGGAUUACAGGUGUGAGCCACCGCACCCGGCCUCUGAGAAAUAUUUAGAUUGUACGCCUCAAAUGGGCAGGGACUGUGUCUUACACUUUUGUAUUUAUGCUACAGCUUACCUAAUACAGUGCCAGGCCUCGUUAAACACUUAUUGAUUGCUCAGACGAUAAAGAACUUGCUUUGGAAGGAGGAGAGGAUAGUCAUGUGCUUCUGAAUGUAUUGAACUUCUUGAAAUCUCUUUCCUCAUCAAUUUUAGCAGAGUUUCUAUUGAAACUCCUAGGGUGUGUUUAUGGAAGACAAACUGAGAUGUGCUGUCCCAGCCUUAGGCCCUGGCAGUACGCCUUGCCUUUUCACGGCACACCCACUACAGCCUUUCCCACACUGUGACACUGGAGCUGGUGAGUCAAAUGCAUGGCAUGGGAAGCCCUCUCUAGGAGGAUGCUGUGGCCACACAAGUGCUGGACGAACCGCUGGAGUUGAAGAUUAUUCUCUCUUCUAAAGAAAAUAGAAGAAUAUUAGGAGAAAAGACACUUGAAAAUGUUCACUCUUUUAUUCACAUUACAUCAUCUGUCUUGAAUAAUGGGUCUAUCUCUUUCCUGUUGCUCUGGCCCUGAAAAAAAAAUUAGCUUUUUAAGGCUGCUUUUGUUACGUGUGCAUUUUCUUGUAAUCCCGUCAUUCUGGGAUUUAAUAAUAAUAGUAUUAAUACCACCUACCAUUUGUUGGUUACUUACUGUGUUUUAGGCACUGUGCUAAACGCCUUCCAUGUAUUCAUCUCAUUAGUAAACAUUUCUGAAACUAUUCUUA
rnacentral:lncRNA from 10 species